rnacentral:misc_RNA from 1 species
UCUCCGUUGGUGAACCAGCGGAGGGAUCAUUACAGAGUUCUAAAAGACUCCCACAACCACUGUGAACGUACCCGUCAGCGUUGCCUCGGCGGGCGGCCCCUCCCUGGGGCCGCUGCCUCCCUCGCGGGGGGUGCCCGCCGGCGUACGAAAACUAUCCUGUAUUUUAGUGGCCUCUCUGAGAAAACAAGCAAAUAAGUUAAAACUUUCAACAACGGAUCUCUUGGUUCUG